UGGUCUGCAGAGCUACAGAGGUGAUGAAGGGAAUGGAACAUCCUUGUUAUGAGGAGAGCCUGAGGGAGCUGGGGCUGUGCUGCUGGGAGAGGAGGAGACUGAGAGGUGACCUCAUCAGUGGUUAUAAAGAUGUAAAGGAUUCUAAAUCAGCUGCACAGAAUAAGGCAGAACUCUAAUGCCUGGCUGCUUUCAGCUCCUCUUCUUUGUGACUUUCAGAAACACCUAUCAAAGGUCCCUAAACUGUUGUCUGGGACAUCUUUAAUGCAAAAGCACUGGAUUCUGUUCUACUCUUCUGUCUUUCUUGGCACUUUGCUUCAUGUGACAAGCUGUAACCUAAUUUAACCCAGUAAUCCAUGCAGACCUUAGCCCGGGACUUCCAACGACACUUUGAAAGUGAUAAAGGGAUGCGUGGUGGAAUAGGUAAACCAUCAAAGGCCGUGGACAAAUCCAGGUUUGUUCCCACCACUAUUAGAAGACCUUUGACAUGGCAGUGCUUUGGAGUACGACAGAAGGACUUGUUCUAAUGAAAAGCUCUUCUAGAGUCUAUUGCACUUGGUUUAGUCUCUCCAUGACUGCUCCGUAACAAUGCAAAAUGGGAUCUGAAAGGGAACUUUUAAGUAAUUAUUAUUUAAGAGGGAUAACCUUCUCUGGCAACACUCAGACAGUAGAAAGAGUUUCCUGGAAGGUCAAUCCCCAGGCUUUGAGGGUGUAUUAUCCCUAUUAUCAAAUAGUUUCAUAUCAAAACCCUUUAAAACAGGGCUGCUUCUAAGUAAAGUAAUGCGUUGUAACUGGUCACAGGCUCAGAAAUUGGAUUUAGAGAGGAGAAACAAUGCAAGUUAACUUGGAAAAGAAAUGAAAAAGCAGAGGAUUUCUACAGGAUAAAUGUUUUGGAUUGGUUUGUUGG